rnacentral:rRNA from 1 species
CACGUAGGGCGCGAGCGUUGUCCGGAAUUACUGGGCGUAAAGCGUGCGCAGGCGGUUCGUUAUGUCCGAUGUGAAAGCCCCGAGCUUAACUUGGGAAUGGCAUUGGAAACUGGCGGGCUGGAGUGCGGCAGAGGGGGGUGGAAUUCCACGUGUAGCAGUGAAAUGCGUAGAGAUGUGGAGGAACACCGAUGGCGAAGGCAGCCCCCUGGGCCGACACUGACGCUCAGGCACGAAAGCGUGGGGAGCAAACAGG